rnacentral:rRNA from 1 species
AACGAACGCUGGCGGCAGGCCUAAUACAUGCAAGUCGAACGGGCGUAGCAAUACGUCAGUGGCGGACGGGUGAGUAACACGUGGGAACAUGCCUUUCGGUUCGGAAUAACGCAGGGAAACUUGCGCUAAUACCGGAUGACCCGGCGACGGAAAAGAUUUAUCGCCGAAAGAUUGGCCCGCGUAGGAUUAGCUAGUUGGUGAGGUAACGGCCCACCAAGGCGACGAUCCUUAGCUGGUUUGAGAGAACGAUCAGCCACACUGGGACUGAGACACGGCCCAGACUCCUACGGGAGGCAGCAGUAGGGAAUCUUGGACAAUGGGGGAAACCCUGAUCCAGCCAUGCCGCGUGAGUGAAGAAGGCCUUCGGUUGUAAGUAC